GACGGAGGAUGCAAGUGUUAUCCGGAAUCACUGGGCGUAAAGCGUCUGUAGGUGGUUUAAAAAGUCUAACUGUUAAAGACUUGAAGCUUAACUUCAAAAAUGCCGUAGAAACUUUUAAACUUGAGUAUGGUAGGGGUAGAGGGAAUUUCCAGUGGAGCGGUGAAAUGCGUAGAUCUUGGAAAGACCACCAAUGGCGAAGGCACUCUACUGGGCCAUUACUGACACUAAGAGACGAAAGCUAGGGGAGCAAAUGGG
rnacentral:rRNA from 1 species